UACGUAGGGCGCAAGCGUUGUCCGGAAUUAUUGGGCGUAAAGAGCUCGUAGGCGGUUUGUCGCGUCUGCUGUGAAAACCUAAGGCUCAACCUUGGGCUUGCAGUGGGUACGGGCAGACUAGAGUGCGGUAGGGGUGACUGGAAUUCCUGGUGUAGCGGUGGAAUGCGCAGAUAUCAGGAGGAACACCGAUGGCGAAGGCAGGUCACUGGGCCGCAACUGACGCUGAGGAGCGAAAGCUAGGGGAGCGAACGGG
rnacentral:rRNA from 1 species